UAGGGAAUAUUGCGCAAUGGAGGAAACUCUGACGCAGCGACGCCGCGUGGGUGAUGAAGGCUUUCGGGUCGUAAAGCCCUGUCGGAAGGGACGAAACACGAUGUGGCUAAUAUCCACGUCGAUUGACGGUACCUUAAGAGGAAGCACCGGCUAACUACGUGCCAGCAGCCGCGGUAAUACGUAGGGUGCAAGCGUUGUUCGGAAUCAUUGGGCGUAAAGCGCGUGUAGGCUGCUAUCUAAGUCGGGUGUGAAAUCCCAUGGCUCAACCAUGGAAGUGCAUUCGAAACUGGAUGGCUAGAGAGUGGUAGAGGAAGGUGGAAUUCCAAGUGUAGAGGUGAAAUUCGUAGAUAUUUGGAGGAAUACCGGUGGCGAAGGCGGCCUUCUGGGCCACUUCUGACGCUGAGACGCGAAAGCGUGGGGAGCAAACAG
rnacentral:rRNA from 1 species